rnacentral:rRNA from 1 species
AGUGAACGCUGGCGGUAGGUCUAACACAUGCAAGUCGAACGGCAGCACCUUAAUAUCUUGCUCUUACGGGUGGCGAGUGGCGGAGUGGUGAGUGAUACAUCUGACUCUACUUUUUCGUUGUGUAUAACGUAGUGAAACUUACGCUAAUACCGCAUACGUCCUGCGUGUGAGAGCAGGGGAUCUUCGGGCCUUUCGCGAUUGACUGAGCCGAUGUCGGCUUGGAUAGAUGGGGGGGUAAUGGCCCGCCAUGGCGAGGAACCGUAGCUGGUCUGAGAGGAUGAUAGGCCACACGGGAACUGAGACACGGUCAAGACUCCUACGGGAGGCAGCAGUGGGGAACAUGAGACAAUAGGCGGAAGCAUGAUACAGCCAUACCGCGUGGGUGAAGAAGGCAUUCGGGUCGGAAAGACCUCUUGUUGGGAAAGAAAAGCAGCAGCAUAAUACCCAGCGGGGGUGACGGUAACGAAAGAAGAAGCACCGGCUAACUUCGUG